rnacentral:rRNA from 1 species
AGACCUGAUGGGCACCUUCCGGGAAACCAAAGUUUUUGGGUUCCGGGGGAAGUAUGGUUGCAAAGCUGGAACUUAAAGGAAUUGACGGAAGGGCACCACCAGGAGUGGAGCCUGUGGCUUAAUUUGACUCAACGCGGGAAAUUUCACGAGGCCCGGACACUGGAAGGAUUGACAGAUUGAGAGCUCUUUCUUGAUUCGGUGGGUGGUGGUGCAUGGCCGUUCUUAGUUGGUGGAGUGAUUUGUCUGGUUAAUUCCGAUAACGAACGAGACUCUGGCUUACUAAAUAGGCGGCGGAUCUUUGUAUCCGCUAUGUCUUCUUAGAGGGAUAAGGCAGCUCUAAGCUGCAUGAGAAGGGGCAAUAACAGGUCUGUGAUGCCCUUAGAUGUUCUCGGCCGCACACGCGCUACACUGAAAGAGGCAACGUGUUUGCCUGAUUCGAAAGAAUUGGGUAACCCCCUAAUCUCUUUCGUGCUGGGGAUUGAGGUUUGCAAUUAUCCUUCAUGAACGAGGAAUUCCCAGUAAGUGCGAGUCAUUAUCUCGCGCUGACUACGUCCCUGCCCUUUGUACACACCGCCCGUCGCUACUACCGAUUGAAUGAUUUAGUGAGGACUUCGGACUGAGUCCAAUGCGGCUUUCGGG